rnacentral:rRNA from 1 species
GACGAACGCUGGCGGCGUGCUUAACACAUGCAAGUCGAACGGAAAGGCCCUGCUUGCAGGGUACUCGAGUGGCGAACGGGUGAGUAACACGUGGGUGAUCUGCCCUGCACUUCGGGAUAAGCCUGGGAAACUGGGUCUAAUACCGGAUAGGAGCCAUUUUUAGUGUGAUGGUUGGAAAGUUUUUUCGGUGUAGGAUGAGCUCGCGGCCUAUCAGCUUGUUGGUGGGGUAAUGGCCUACCAAGGCGGCGACGGGUAGCCGGCCUGAGAGGGUGGACGGCCACAUUGGGACUGAGAUACGGCCCAGACUCCUACGGGAGGCAGCAGUGGGGAAUAUUGCACAAUGGGCGCAAGCCUGAUGCAGCGACGCCGCGGGGGGGAUGACGGACUUCGGGUUGUAAACUCCUUUCGCUAGGGACGAAGCUUUUUGUGACGGUACCUAGAUAAGAAGCACCGGCUAACUACGUG